rnacentral:rRNA from 1 species
CCUACGGGAGGCUGCAGUGAGGAAUAUUGGUCAAUGGGCGGAAGCCUGAACCAGCCAAGUCGCGUGAGGGAAUAAGGCCCUACGGGUCGUAAACCUCUUUUGCCGGGGAGCAAGGGCUGGGACGAGUCUCGGUCUGGAGAGUACCAGGAGAAAAAGCAUCGGCUACAUCUGUGCCAGCAGCGGCGGUAAUAAGGAGGAUGCGAGUGUUAUCCGGAUUUAUUGGGUUUAAAGGGGGCGUAGGCGGGCUUUUAUGUCAGCGGUAAAAAUUCGGGGCUCAACCCCGUACGGCCGUUGACACUGGGGGCCUUGAGUGGGCGAGAGGAAGGCGGAAUGCGUGGUGUAGCGGUGAAAUGCAUAGAUAUCACGCAGAACCCCGAUUGCGAAGGCAGCCUUCCGGCGCCCUACUGACGCUGAGGCACGAAAGUGCGGGGAUCGAACAGGAUUAGAUACCCUUGUAGUC